UACGUAGGGGGCAAGCGUUGUCCGGAAUCAUUGGGCGUAAAGAGCGUGUAGGCGGCCAGGUAGGUCUGGUGUGAAAACUCGAGGCUUAACCUCGAGAUGUCAUCGGAAACCAUUUGGCUAGAGUCCGGAAGAGGAGAGUGGAAUUCCUGGUGUAGCGGUGAAAUGCGCAGAUAUCAGGAAGAACACCAAUGGCGAAAGCAGCUCUCUGGGACGGUACUGACGCUGAGACGCGAAAGCGUGGGGAGCGAACAGG
rnacentral:rRNA from 1 species